CAGCCGCCGCGGGAAUACGGAGGGUGCAAGCGUUAAUCGGAAUUACUGGGCGUAAAGCGCACGCAGGCGGUUUGUUAAGUCAGAUGUGAAAUCCCCGAGCUUAACUUGGGAACCGCAUUUGAAACUGGCAAGCUAGAGUCUUGUAGAGGGGGGUAGAAUUCCAGGUGUAGCGGUGAAAUGCGUAGAGAUCUGGAGGAAUACCGGUGGCGAAGGCGGCCCCCUGGACAAAGACUGACGCUCAGGUGCGAAAGCGUGGGGAGCAAACAGGAUUAGAUACCCCUGUAGUCCCUGUCUCUUAUAC
rnacentral:rRNA from 1 species